CACGUAGGUGGCAUGAUAAGUCAAAGGUGAAAGCCCUCGGCUCAACCGAGGAACUGCCUUUGAAACUGCCUUGCUUGAGCCCGGGAGGGGGGAGCGGAAUUCCCAGUGUAGCGGUGAAAUGCGUAGAUACUGGGAGGAACACCGGUGGCGAAGGCGGCUCCCUGGACCGGUACUGACACUGAGGUGCGAAAGCGUGGGUAGCAAACA
rnacentral:rRNA from 1 species